UACAUGGGGUGCAAACGUUGCUCGGAAUUAUUGGGCGUAAAGCGCGUGUAGGCGGCUUUGCAAGUCGGGUGUGAAAUCCCUCAGCUUAACUGAGGAAGUGCGCCCGAAACUGCCGAGCUUGAGUACCGGAGAGGGUGGCGGAAUUCCCCAAGUAGAGGUGAAAUUCGUAGAUAUGGGGAGGAACACCGGUGGCGAAGGCGGCCACCUGGACGGAUACUGACGCUGAGACGCGAAAGCGUGGGGAGCAAACAGG
rnacentral:rRNA from 1 species